UACGUAGGGUGCGAGCGUUGUCCGGAAUUAUUGGGCGUAAAGAGCUUGUAGGCGGUUUGUCGCGUCUGCUGUGAAAAUCCGGGGCUCAACCCCGGACUUGCAGUGGGUACGGGCAGACUAGAGUGUGGUAGGGGAGACUGGAAUUCCUGGUGUAGCGGUGGAAUGCGCAGAUAUCAGGAGGAACACCGAUGGCGAAGGCAGGUCUGCUGGGCCACUACUGACGCUGAGAAGCGAAAGCAUGGGGAGCGAACAGG
rnacentral:rRNA from 1 species